UUCUAUGGCCAUGCCAUCCUGAACGAGCCCAAUGUCUGAUCUCAGAAGCUAAGCAGGCUCAGGCCUGGUUAGUACUUGGAUGGGAGACCACCUAGGAAGACCAGGUGCUGUAGGCA
rnacentral:rRNA from 1 species